AAGCAUCGUUUCGGAGCGUUUCAGGCCAUAAAAACACUAGUUUAAACCACGGCAACUGCAACUGUGCUUUUAGGCUUUCUUACAGCAGCUUGGCAUCAGAACAUGACCACUAUACAAUAAGCGGUUUUAAAGAAGCCUGACAUCAGAACAUGACCAUUAUAAGCUGUAAUAGUGGAAACCAAUGCAGAAACACUAAAACAUCGUUUUGGAGCUUUUUAGGCCAUGAAAACACUAGUUUAAACCACGGCAAGUCCAUUAUAGGCUGUAAUGUUAGAAACCAAUGCAGAAACACUAAAAAAACCACGGCAAUUGCAACUGUGCUCUUAGGGUGUACUGAGCUGUUUUAAAGUAGCCUGGCAUUAGAACAUGACCAUUGUAACCUGUAGUGUUAGAAGCCAAAGCAGAAACACUAAAACAUCGUUUUGAAGCCUUUCAGGCCAAAAAACACUAGUUUAAACCAAGGCAACUGCAACUGUGCUUUUAGGCUGUUUGACAGCAGCUUGGCAUCAGAACAUGACCAUUAUACAGUAAGCUCUCUUACAGUAGCUUGGCAUCAUAACACAACCAUUAUAGUUUGUAAUGUUAGAAACCAAUGCAGAAACACUAAAACAUCGUUUUGGAGCUUUACACGCCAUAAGAACACUAGUUUAAACCACGGCACUUGCAACUAAGCUUGUACGGUGUAUUGAGCUGUGUUACAUUAGCUUGGCAUCAGAACAUGACCAUUAUAGGUUGUAAUGUUAGAAACCAAUGCAAAAACACUAAAACAUUGUUUUGGAGCUUCAAAGGCCAUAAAAACACUAGUUUAAAUUACGACACGACCGUCAUAAGCUGUAAUGUUAGAAACCAAUGCAUAAAAACUAAAACAUCGUUUUGGAGCGUUUUAGGCCAUAAAAAAAACACUAGUUUAAACCCCGGGACGACCAUUAUAAGCCAUAAUCUUGGAAACCAAUAAAGAAACACUAAAACAUCGUUUCGGAGCUUAUCAGGCCAUAAAAACACUAGUUUAAACCACGGCAACUGCAACUGUGCUUUUAGGUUGUCUUACAUCAGAUUGGCAUCAGAACAUGACCAUUAUUCUGAUGCCAGGCUUCUUUAAAACAGCUUCAGUAAGCUGUUUUAAAGAAGCCUGGCAUCAGAACAUGACCAAUAUAACCUGUAAUGUUAGAAACCAAUGCAGAAACACUAAAACAUCGUUUUGGAGCUUUUCAGGCCAUAAACACUAGUUUAAACCACGGCAAGACCAUUAUAGGCUGUAAUGUUAGAAACCAAUGCAGAAACACUAAAAAGAACAUGGCAAUUGCAACUGUGCUCUUAGGGUGUACUGAGCUGUUUUA
rnacentral:lncRNA from 1 species